rnacentral:rRNA from 1 species
CCUACGGGAGGCAGCAGUGGGGAAUAUUGCACAAUGGGGGAAACCCUGAUGCAGCAACGCAGCGUGAGUGAUGAAGUAUUUCGGUAUGUAAAGCUCUAUCAGUAUGGAAUAGAAAUGAAGGUAGCUUAAAGAUAAGCCUCGGCUAACUACGUGCCAGCAGCCGCGGUAAUACGUAGGGGGCAAGCGUUAUCCGGAUGUACUGGGUGUAAAGGGAGCGUAGACGGAAAGGCAAGUCAGAAGUGAAAACCCAAGGCUCAACCGUGGGACUGCAUUUGAAACUGUCAAACUAGAGUACAGGAGAGGUAAGAGGAAUUCCUGGUGUAGCGGUGAAAUGCGUAGAUAUUAGGAAGAACACCAGUGGCGAAGGCGGCUUACUGGGCUGUAACUGACGCUGAGGCACGAAAGCGUGGGUAGCAAACAGGAUUAGAUACCCUAGUAGUC